rnacentral:rRNA from 1 species
AGUGAACGCUGGCGGUAGGCCUAACACGUGCAAGUCGAACGGCAGCACAGUAAGAGCUUGCUCUUACGGGUGGCGAGUGGCGGACGGGUGAGGAAUACAUCGGAAUCUACUUUUUCGUGGGGGAUAACGUAGGGAAACUUACGCUAAUACCGCAUACGACCUACGGGUGAAAGCAGGGGAUCUUCGGACCUUGCGCGAUUGAAUGAGCCGAUGUCGGAUUAGCUAGUUGGCGGGGUAAAGGCCCACCAAGGCGACGAUCCGUAGCUGGUCUGAGAGGAUGAUCAGCCACACUGGAACUGAGACACGGUCCAGACUCCUAAGGGAGGCAGCAGUGGGGAAUAUUGGACAAUGGGCGCAAGCAUGAUCCAGCCAUACCGCGUGGGUGAAGAAGGCCUUCGGGUUGUAAAGCCCUUUUGUUGGGAAAGAAAAGCAGCAGGUUAAUACCCAGCUGUUCUGACGGUACCCAAAGAAUAAGCACCGGCUAACUUCGUG